rnacentral:rRNA from 1 species
CCUACGGGAGGCAGCAGUGGGGGAUAUUGCACAAUGGGGGAAACCCUGAUGCAGCGACGCCGCGUGGGUGAAGAAGCGCCUCGGCGCGUAAAGCCCUGUCAGCAGGGAAGAAAAUGACGGUACCUGAAGAAGAAGCCCCGGCUAACUACGUGCCAGCAGCCGCGGUAAUACGUAGGGGGCAAGCGUUAUCCGGAUUUACUGGGUGUAAAGGGGGCGCAGGCGGCGAUGCAAGACAGGAGUGAAAGCCCGGGGCCCAACCCCGGGCCUGCUCUUGGAACUGCGUGGCUAGAGUGCAGGAGGGGCAGGCGGAAUUCCUGGUGUAGCGGUGAAAUGCGUAGAUAUCAGGAGGAACACCGGUGGCGAAGGCGGCCUGCUGGACUGCAACUGACGUUGAGGCCCGAAAGCGUGGGGAGCAAACAGGAUUAGAUACCCUUGUAGUC